GUUUUAUUGUAAGAAAUUCAAAAGCCAUUUUCAAGUUACAAAGAGAUUUGCUCUUCAUUUUGCAGCAAAUUAGGAAUCAUCAGCAACGACAAACUAUGCAUUAACAAUAAUUAAUAAGUUACUAGGAUGUAUCUCAGUGGUUUCCAAACCAGUCCUCAUGGCACACUUUCCAGUCCAGGAUUUAGGGAUUACCCAGUUGUGUCUAAGGUGUAUGUAACUUUAAAUUGAGUUGAAGUGCCAUAAAGUGACCUUGAAUCUAGUCCGUAUUCAUGACAGUUACUGAAAGUAAGUGUGCCAGCAGCAACUAGGGAUUUUUAUACACAUCGACCUACGUGGUACUCAAAAUAGAUUUUAAAUUAGUUUUGAAUGUUUCGUAAAAAUAGUUUAGUGCUCAGCAAAGUUAGUCUAAGCUAAUUGUAAUUCCUAACUCAGUUCCAAAAUUCACCUGCCAGAAGCUCGCUGGUCCUUCUGAAGCUGCCAAGACUUUUACCUAUUUUCAAGACUUC